rnacentral:rRNA from 1 species
CACGUAGGGCGCGAGCGUUGUCCGGAAUUAUUGGGCGUAAAGAGCUCGUAGGCGGCCUGUUGCGUCCGCUGUGAAAGCCCGGGGCUUAACCCCGGGUCUGCAGUGGAUACGGGCAGGCUAGAGGUAGGUAGGGGAGAAUGGAAUUCCCGGUGUAGCGGUGAAAUGCGCAGAUAUCGGGAGGAACACCGGUGGCGAAGGCGGUGUCCUGGGCCGAUCCUGACGCUGAGGAGCGAAAGCUGGGGGAGCAAACAGG